rnacentral:piRNA from 1 species
UGAAAUGACAUGGAUGGAUGUUCCUGG